rnacentral:ncRNA from 1 species
GAAAGGGGGUGCCCUAUUGAAGGGGCUGAGAUUAUACCCUAUGAACCUGAUCCGGACAGUGCCGGCGGAGGGAUUGGAUUU